GGGCCAGCCAGGGCAGGCAGGGACAGCCCCUCUGAUGAGGAGGCCACUGGGCUGAGACCAAUGAAUGAGAUGGAGCCAGCCACGUGGUGAGCCAGAAGAGGGCAUCACAGGGCUUGAGUCUGGGGGAGCCUGGCUGCCCAGAGGUGGCAGAUGACAUGAAGAAAUAACCAUGUAAGGGCUGGCUGUGUAUGAGCCCUGACUUCCCACAGCUAUCCCCAAACACACUCGUUUACACUGAAGCACCAGGAGAUCAGAACCUUCUGGAAUCUUAAUAUGCGAGGACUCGGUGGAGAAGGCGGCACUGAAGAAGAGUCGUCCCUAGGCCAGGCUGGAGGGAAACUCAAGACGGCGGCCUGGCCCUCCUGGGUGGCGGAAGUGGGAGCAGCAGGAGCCCUGGCGGAUCCGGGAGGCCAGAAGAGCGGAAGCUUCCUCCCCUCUCAGGACAGCCACAAGGACUUUCGGGGGUCGUGGCAGCUGCUCCACUUCCAACUUCCAGAUCCCUCUCACUUUCCUCUUCCCACCAACUCCAACCUGGGACCAAGCAGGGGAAAGCAGCUGCAGCCCAGCUUGACGCCCCUGCAAAUGGAGACCUGUGCACCUGGUUGUGAGCAUUUUAAAGGGUGUCACACAGGGCAUACCCUUCGGUGCCUGGAUUCCUUUGAUGAAAGGGCAAAGCCUUGAACCUAAGUCAUCUUCGAGUCCUCAGCACUUCACCCAGAGCCUGGCACACAGUAGGAGCACAGAAAGGUUUACAUCCAGCAGGAGUUGGCCCUGAGCUCUGAGUCCAGAUCAUUGCUCUUGGCUGAAGCAGCCUGUCUACUCACAAAGAUGAGCAUGGUCCCUGCCACGAGGAAACUCGUGGUCCUGUGGACUGCGGUGUGGAGGGAAAGCUUGGGAUUCUGAGCCUGAUAAUGCACCAUUACAUCCCCACUCACUCGGGCUGUGUGAACCCAGCAAGUCACAGGAUCACUGGGUGGUGAAAGAAAGAAACACUCACAGAAGCGUCUGUGCUUGGAGAGCCAUCUGGUCCGUCAUUGUGACUGCUGCUCUCAUUGCUAUCAUGGGUGUCACCAUUGCCAUCACUCAAGGACUUCUCUCCAGGCCCCGAAGCCAAGCUGGUGCCUGGUUCCUCUGGGUUGGGAGAGGGGCUGGGCAUGGACAGGAGGAGGGAAAAGGGACCUGUGCUAGCAGGUGAUGCCAUCCAAGACAUCUGCAUCCUAAUCCCUGGAACCUGGGAUUCCACUAGGUGCCAUGGCAAAGAGGGAUUAAGGUGGCAGGUGGAGUGAAGGUUGCUAAUCAGCCGACCUUAAAGUAGGGAGAUGAUCCUGAAUGAGACAAAAGAGAGAACCAGUCAUGGUGUCAUGAGAAGGACUCAAAAUGCAACUGCUGACUUUGAAGAUUAAGGGGCUACAAACCAAGGAACGUGGUAGUCUCUGGAAAAGACAAGGAAUAGACGCUGCGUUGGGGCCACCAGAAGGAACCAGCCCUGUCAACACCCUAAUUUUAGCCCAGUGAGGCCUGUGCUGGACUUCUGACCUCCAGAACUGUAAACUAAUAAAUGUGUGUUGUUUCUGCCAC
ensembl:lncRNA LINC00917 long intergenic non-protein coding RNA 917